AUUGAACGCUGGCGGCAGGCCUAACACAUGCAAGUCGAACGAGUGGCGGACGGGUGAGUAAUGUCUGUGAAACUGCCUGAUGGAGGGGGAUAACAAAUGGAAACGGUAGCUCAUACCGCAUAACAGCGGCUAUGCCCGGAUGGGAUUAGCUAGUAGGUGGGGUAAAGGCUAACCUAGGCGACGAGCCAUAGCUGGUCUGAUAGGAUGACCAGCCACACUGGAACUGAGACACGGUCCAGACUCCUACGGGAGGCAGCAUUGGGGAAGAUUGCACAAUGGGCGCAAGCCUGAUGCAGCCAUGCCGCGUGUAUGAAGAAGGCCUUCGGGUUGUAAAGUACUUUCAGCUGGGAGGCGUUACCCGCAGAAGAAGCACCGGCUAACUCCGUGCCAGCAGCCGCGGUAAUAC
rnacentral:rRNA from 1 species